rnacentral:rRNA from 1 species
GUAGGUGGCAAGCGUUGUCCGGAAUUAUUGGGGCGUAAAGCGCGCGCAGGCGGUUCUUUAAGUCUGAUGUGAAAGCCCACGGGCUCAACCGUGGAGGGUCAUUGGAAACUGGAGAACUUGAGUACAGAAGAGGAAAGCGGAAUUCCACGUGUAGCGGUGAAAUGCGUAGAGAUGUGGAGGAACACCAGUGGCGAAGGCGGCUUUCUGGUCUGUAACUGACGCUGAGGCGCGAAAGCGUGGGGAGCAAACAGGAUUAGAUACCCUGGUAGUCCACGCCGUAAACGAUGAGUGCUAAGUGUUAGGGGGUUUCCGCCCCUUAGUGCUGCAGCUAACGCAUUAAGCACUCCGCCUGGGGAGUAUGGUUGCAAAGGCUG